GACGAACCGAGCGAACGUUGUUCGGAAUAACUGGGCUUAAAGGGCGCGUAGGCGGGCCACCAAGUUCGAGGUGAAAUCCUCCGGCUCAACCGGAGAACUGCCUCGAAUACUGGAGCCUCGAGGCGGGUAGGGGCGUGCGGAACUGUGGGUGGAGCGGUGAAAUGCGUUGAUAUCCACAGGAACACCAAUGGCGAAGGCAGCUGCGCUGGGACGUUGACUGACGCGUGGGACGCGAAAGCGGUGGGGAGCGAACAGG
rnacentral:rRNA from 1 species